CAGAACGAACGUAGGCGGCGUGCUUAACACAUGCAAGUCGAGCGAAAAGGCCCUUCGGGGUACUCGAGCGGCGAACGGGUGAUGUAACACGUGAGCAAUCUGCCCUUAGCUUCGGGAUAGCUCCGGGAAACUCGGAAUUAAUCCCGAAUAUGACGCUGGCUGACAUCAGCCAUAGUCGAAAGUUUUUCGGCUAGGGAUGAGCUCGCGGCCUAUCAGCUAGUUGGGAAGUUUUUUCCUACCAAGGUGGGAAAAAUAGCCGGCCUGAGAGGCGACCGGCC
rnacentral:rRNA from 1 species